AUUGAACGCUGGCGGCAUGCCUUACACAUGCAAGUCGAACGGUAACAGGUCUUCGGAUGCUGACGAGUGGCGAACGGGUGAGUAAUACAUCGGAACGUGCCCGAGAGUGGGGGAUAACGAAGCGAAAGCUUUGCUAAUACCGCAUACGAUCUCAGGAUGAAAGCAGGGGACCGCAAGGCCUUGCGCUCACGGAGCGGCCGAUGGCAGAUUAGGUAGUUGGUGGGAUAAAAGCUUACCAAGCCGACGAUCUGUAGCUGGUCUGAGAGGACGACCAGCCACACUGGGACUGAGACACGGCCCAGACUCCUACGGGAGGCAGCAGUGGGAAUUUGGACAAUGGGCGCAAGCCUGAUCCAGCCAUGCCGCGUGCAGGAUGAAGGCCUUCGGUUGUAACUAGCUUUGUACGGUAACGAAAGAACUCUGGUUAAUAACCUGGGUCCGAUGACGGUACCGUAAGAAUAAGACACCGGCGUAACUAACGUGCCAGCACG
rnacentral:rRNA from 1 species